UUCCCUUUUAAAACAGUCAAGAGAUGUUGUCACAUUUUCUAUUAAUAUUCUCAUUCUCUAUUGUUACAUAUUCUAUUAAUAUUCUCUCAUUUUCUAUUAAUUUGUUUAGUAAUUCCCUACUCAGCAUACGCCUGUUAAGGAACCUCUUUAUAGGGUGUGAAACAUUCCAUUUUUUCCUCCUCUAGUCCAGGAAAACUAAGCACAACCUGAAGCCAUGAAUUUCGUUCUGGAGCAGAAUGCAUCCACAAGCAGAUGUCAAUACUGUUCUGCCUAAAUCCUGUUGUGGAAUUUGGUCUGAAAGCAUUUCUGAUCAUCAGGUGGAAUCCCGUGGAAGUUAAGAUGGUGUUUGGGAGCUCUUCAAACGAGGCUGUUUUCCUGUCAGAGCCACAGGUGGCAAUGAAAAUCAGUGCCAUUGUGCAAAGUUUCCUGAAAGGACAUGUCCCACCCGUUACUGGAAAAGAAAGAAUUAUCCAGCUUAUGUUUACUAGAGGUGUUAUAUAUAUAUCCCCAAAUCAAUUUUAAGUGUAUCCCUCAAUGCAUUAAAGAUUUAGAGAGGCU
rnacentral:lncRNA from 1 species